GAAUUCUAGACUGUGCCCCUUCACACCAACAGAAGAAGCAUCGUCAGCAGCCUGAUGUUUAAAAACUAAAUACUUGAACUGGAGCCAGGGGCUAUGCUCACCAAAUAACCAAUAAAAGACAGUUGUAACUGCUGGGAAAAUAAAUUGCUUAGGGAAGCAUGUGACAAAGGCAAUUAAAAACACUUCUAUUCCAACCAUCAAAAAUCCUGGCCCAGAAAAAUGUGGAAACUGACUUCCUUGACUUUUAGAGAAUGCAGUGGAAGGAGAUUCUGCUAGAAAAGAUUGCAUCUUCCCCUGACAUGGGCAUUAAGAACCUUUCUCUUUUUCCUAGAGACGUAUGUAUGUGAUGCUCUCUUGUGCUCUAAAGCUUGACUCAAAUGUAGCUGCUAGCGAGGCGGAUCUUUGCCUCUUGAGGCGCUCAUGGACUCUGGCCUCUUCUAAUUGCCCGGUGAAGUGCAGCAUCAAGAUCCUUGGGCAUCAGCUAAUGGCUCCUAAGUGCUGGAAGCAGGAGAGCUCGCACAGAAUAAGCAGCAAUCAGAUAUGCCACUCACAUUGAGAUUCAGCUGAUGAUUGGGUAUAAGUGAGUGCCUGCAGUCAAGGAGAGCCUCACUCAACGAAACUACUGCUGUUGUGAAAGUAUUAGGAUUUGCGCUUUCCUAUGACGUCAAAAGGCCACCAAGGUAAAUUCUACGAUGCAAGCAGGAGCUUGAAAAAAUUCAACAAAAAAGUUACAGAAUCCUACCUCCUCUGACACAAUUAUAAAACACUUGUGUCUCACCAUAAAUACAGCCCAUGGCAACAAUUAUCACUUACCGUGCAGAUGGAGACAGUAAAUGUGUCCAUUCUUAUUUAUAUAUGACUUUGAAAUGAUUUUUAUAUUUUUAUUUGAAUAUGGAUA